UCGUCAGCUCGUGUCGUGAGAUGUUGGGUUAAGUCCCGCAACGAGCGCAACCCUUGUCAUUAGUUGCCAUCAUUAAGUUGGGCACUCUAAUGAGACUGCCGGUGACAAACCGGAGGAAGGUGGGGAUGACGUCAAGUCAUCAUGCCCCUUAUGACCUGGGCUACACACGUGCUACAAUGGACGGUACAACGAGAAGCGAACCUGCGAAGGCAAGCGGAUCUCUUAAAGCCGUUCUCAGUUCGGACUGUAGGCUGCAACUCGCCUACACGAGGCUGGAAUCGCUAGUAAUCGCGGAUCAGCACGCCGCGGUGAAUACGUUCCCGGGCCUUGUACACACCGCCCGUCACACCAUGAGAGUCUGUAACACCCAAAGCCGGUGGGAUAACCUUUAUAGGAGUCAGCCGUCUAAGGUAGGACAGAUGAUUAGGGUGAAGUCGUAACAAGGUAGCCGUA
rnacentral:rRNA from 1 species